rnacentral:tRNA from 1 species
GCUGAGGUAGCCAAGCGGACCACGGCGCCGGUCUUGAAAACCGGUGGUGCACUGCGCCACGGGAGUUCGAAUCUCUACCUCAGCG